UGAACCGGGUUGCGGACAGUGUCUGGUGGGUAGUUUGACUGGGGCGGUCUCCUCCUAAAGAGUAACGGAGGAGCACGAAGGUUGGCUAAUCCUGGUCGGACAUCAGGAGGUUAGUGCAAUGGCAUAAGCCAGCUUGACUGCGAGCGUGACGGCGCGAGCAGGUGCGAAAGCAGGUCAUAGUGAUCCGGUGGUUCUGAAUGGAAGGGCCAUCGCUCAACGGAUAAAAGGUACUCCGGGGAUAACAGGCUGAUACCGCCCAAGAGUUCAUAUCGACGGCGGUGUUUGGCACCUCGAUGUCGGCUCAUCACAUCCUGGGGCUGAAGUAGGUCCCAAGGGUAUGGCUGUUCGCCAUUUAAAGUGGUACGCGAGCUGGGUUUAGAACGUCGUGAGACAGUUCGGUCCCUAUCUGCCGUGGGCGCUGGAAGAUUGAGGGGGGCUGCUCCUAGUACGAGAGGACCGGAGUGGACGCAUCACUGGUGUUCGGGUUGUCAUGCCAAUGGCACUGCCCGGUAGCUACAUGCGGAAGAGAUAAGUGCUGAAAGCAUCUAAGCACGAAACUUGCCCCGAGAUGAAUCUUCCCUGAGCCUUUAAGGCUCCUGAAGGAACGUUGAAGACGACGACGUUGAUAGGCCGGGUGUGUAAGCGCAGCGAUGCGUUGAGCUAACCGGUACUAAUGAACCGUGAGGCUUAACCUUACAAC
rnacentral:rRNA from 1 species